GUAUCUGGCGCGGCCUUACCAUGCAGUCCGAACGGUAGCACAGAAGAAGCUUGGCUCUCGGGUGACGAGUGGCGGACGGGUGAGUAAUGUCUGGGAAACUGCCUGAUGGAGGGGGAUAACUACUGGAAACGGUAGCUAAUACCGCAUAACGUCGCAAGACCAAAGAGGGGGACCUUCGGGCCUCUUGCCAUCAGAUGUGCCCAGAUGGGAUUAGCUAGUAGGUGGGGUAACGGCUCACCUAGGCGACGAUCCCUAGCUGGUCUGAGAGGAUGACCAGCCACACUGGAACUGAGACACGGUCCAGACUCCUACGGGAGGCAGCAGUGGGGAAUAUUGCACAAUGGGCGCAAGCCUGAUGCAGCCAUGCCGCGUGUAUGAAGAAGGCCUUCGGGUUGUAAAGUACUUUCAGCGGGGAGGAAGGCGAUGAGGUUAAUAACCUUGUCGAUUGACGUUACCCGCAGAAGAAGCACCGGCUAACUCCGUGCCAGCAGCCGCGGUAAUACGGAGGGUGCAAGCGUUAAUCGGAAUUACUGGGCGUAAAGCGCACGCAGGCGGUCUGUCAAGUCGGAUGUGAAAUCCCCGGGCUCAACCUGGGAACUGCAUUCGAAACUGGCAGGCUAGAGUCUUGUAGAGGGGGGUAGAAUUCCCGGUGUGGCGGUGAAACGCGUACAAAUCUGUAGGAAGACCGGAGUCGCAAGGG
rnacentral:rRNA from 1 species